rnacentral:rRNA from 1 species
UACGUAGGGCGCGAGCGUUAAUCGGAAUUACUGGGCGUAAAGCGUGCGCAGGCGGUUUUGUAAGCCAGAUGUGAAAUCCCCGGGCUUAACCUGGGAAUGGCAUUGGUGACUGCACGGCUAGAGUGUGUCAGAGGGGGGGUAGAAUUCCACGUGUAGCAGUGAAAUGCGUAGAUAUGCGGAGGAACACCGAUGGCGAAGGCAAUCCCCUGGGCUUGCACUGACGCUCGAUGCACGAAAGCGUGGGGAGCAAACAGG